rnacentral:rRNA from 1 species
AUUGAACGCUGGCGGCAGGCCUAACACAUGCAAGUCGAGCGGUAGAGAGGUGCUUGCAUCUCUUGAGAGCGGCGGACGGGUGAGUAAUGCCUAGGAAUCUGCCUAGUGGUGGGGGAUAACGUUCGGAAACGGACGCUAAUACCGCAUACGUCCUACGGGAGAAAGCGGGGGGAUCGCAAGACCUCGCGCGAUUGGAGCGGCCGAUAUCAGAUUAGGUAGUUGGUGAGGUAAAGGCUCACCAAGCCGACGAUCUGUAGCUGGUCUGAGAGGACGACCAGCCACACUGGGACUGAGACACGGCCCAGACUCCUACGGGAGGCAGCAGUGGGGAAUUUUGGACAAUGGGCGAAAGCCUGAUCCAGCCAUGCCGCGUGUGUGAAGAAGGUCUUCGGAUUGUAAAGCACUUUAAGUUGGGAGGAAGGGUAGUAACCUAAUACGUUGCUACUUUGACGUUACCGACAGAAUAAGCACCGGCUAACUUCGUGCCAGCAGCCG